rnacentral:piRNA from 1 species
UGGCAUUGCUGCGCACAGGCUCUGGUGAA